GUCUAUGAAGGAACCUUACUAAAAACACUGAGGUGUCUGAAGAAAGAUCAUGAUGAAUCUCACGAAGACAGCACAUUUUUAUCACUUCCAAUCACCAUUGAUGCUGGACAUGAUGAAGUAUUCCGUGUGGUUGACGGUCUUGAAGCCUUUUUUCAAACCACAAAGUUUGUUUGACGACAACUGGCUGUACUGCGAUGACUGUGAUGAGAAAACAUACAUGGAAAUUGUGAGUCCAAAUUUCGCGGCCUAAUAUUUGAUGAAGAUGUAGCACAUAGUCCUUUAGACGUUCGUAAAUUAAUUUGAUUGGUUAUUGAGUUUUCUUAAAUUACGUAACGUAAGGUAAAUUAAUAAGCUCAAGUUUGGGUAAUAAAGAAUUACAGGUAGGGUGCAGGUAUUUAUUUUGUCCAGAGACAAUCUGCCCUGUUAUCAACUAUCACCAAGGUUAUACAACCCCCUAACCGUAAUGAUUCUUUCACUGUAAUGCACAUGUAGCGAUAGCUAUGCUAAGAGUCUAUGAUUUAGCCAUUUAUAUUCUGUCUAAUGUAGUAAGCAAUGGCAUUUGUUAGUUCAGACUCAGUGAUGAAUAUGCCUUUCAUCCUACAGAGUUUUAACAUCCAGAAGUAUCCCACAAUACUGACUCUGCACCUCAAGCGGUUUUACUUUGACGACAUGAAAAUGGGAUAUCGGAAGAACUGCUGCCCUAUGGACAUACCCUCCACACUUACAUACUUUGAGAGUUGCACAUAUGAUCUGUAUGGUGUCAUCAACCAUAGUGGGGUGUAUGGAAGUGGACACUACUAUGCCUACAUUCAGUCUCCUGAGAAUAAUGACUGGUUUUGCUUUAAUGAUUCUCACGUGGGUAAAGGUAUGCAUCACUUUCUUUUUCUAUUCAUGGAUGGACUGUAGGAUAACUAAUGUGUAUGUUACAGUUGUGAGGGAGUGUGUGUGACCAUUUGGUACAGGCGUAAAUUAAAGCAUAGACGUUUCUUUUCUAAGAAUGAGAGAAGCAGUUAAACUGAUUAUUGUUUUUUCUCUACAGAUCACAGACAAAGACUUCCUGGAAAGGUCAAAGACUGCAUACAUGAUUGUGUACAGGAAAAGAGAAUCUUCCUCUUCAUCUCCUCAUCAAGAAGAAGACACCAUGGAGACCAGCACUGAGGAAGCCCUCGAGACCGCAACAGCAGAUGAGAUCCCUAAGGAAAUCCUGAACAACACAGCGACCGAAAAGGGGAAACGACACAGCUACCUAAAACAGAGUUGGAUCAACUGGAUGAUACCGCUUUCCCUCCUCGUGAUGUUGCAUCUUGAUGCAGUCAACGUUGGUCUUCUUGUCUUCGAUUUCAUGAUAGAAAAGGACUGGAGGCCACAAGACUGGACAAGGAAGACUGGAUGUACUUUGAUCAUUGUGAUGAGAAAACAAACACUGAAAUAGUGAGUUUUGGGUUCUUGGAUUUACACUAGAAUUGUUGCUCU
rnacentral:lncRNA from 1 species